UUUUGAUUUCAUUCUUUAAGUUCAGCAAAAACCCCCUAUUAUAUUCAUAUUCUACCAAAAUCAUAAUUCUCUUUGCCUCUUUAAUCACAUCUAUUGCAUGCGCAUACACGGCAACAAUUGCGUUGACAGAAAAUAAACAUUUGGAGCGUGAUUCUUGGAUCUUGUUUUCAAAAUUCGUAGAUUAACGAGGUAGGAUACUAUGUGCAAGUGAUAUGUCCUUGCAAUAUUAUGAUUUUUAUACGUGAUUUAUUUCAUGAAAUGCUAAUUGACCUACGGGUCCCUAUGAAAUGAAAUGUGAGAUCGCCUUCGGGUCUUCUCAAAUGUACUAGAGCUUUCGAUUGAUCACCGAUUGAUUUUGAUGAAACGAUGGUAUGGAAUGUUAUAGAUUCAUGUUUUAAAAGUUAUCAUAUUGUUUUGGACGCACGUAUCCUACUGAGUAUAAAUUACUCACUCCUUCCAUUUUAACUUUUCAGGUCAGAUUGGUCAACGUGGAUGGUGGCUGAGUGGUGCGCAGGUUGCCAAGUAAAAGAAAUUUUUAGGAAUCCAUGAUAAAUUUGUUAGGGCAUUUUAUGUUUCUCUUCAAUUCCAUUCAUGACGCUAUGUUUAUUUGAUUCAGUAUUUGAGUUUCAAUAAAUUAAGGUAUUAAAUUUUAAA
rnacentral:lncRNA from 1 species